UGGGGAAUAUUGCACAAUGGGCGCAAGCCUGAUGCAGCCAUGCCGCGUGUAUGAAGAAGGCCUUCGGGUUGUAAAGUACUUUCAGCGGGGAGGAAGGCGAUAAGGUUAAUAACCUUGUCGAUUGACGUUACCCGCAGAAGAAGCAGCGGCUAACUCCGUGCCAGCAGCCGCGGUAAUACGGAGGGUGCAAGCGUUAAUCGGAAUUACUGGGCGUAAAGCGCACGCAGGCGGUCUGUCAAGUCGGAUGUGAAAUCCCCGGGCUCAACCUGGGAACUGCAUUCGAAACUGGCAGGCUAGAGUCUUGUAGAGGGGGGUAGAAUUCCAGGUGUAGCGGUGAAAUGCGUAGAGAUCUGGAGGAAUACCGGUGGCGAAGGCGGCCCCCUGGACAAAGACUGACGCUCAGGUGCGAAAGCGUGGGGAGCAACA
rnacentral:rRNA from 1 species